CCCCUUUCCACUCCACCCCACGCCCUUAAACUGAACCAAAAUCAAACCGUCGCCAUCGCCGUUCCUUUCCUCCACCACCACUCGUCAUCGCUAACUCCGUUCCUUUCCACCACCACUCGCCGCCACCGCGAACCACCACCAUCGUUGACCCAAAUCUCAAACAGCAAACACAAAUCUCUCUCAAAUCCUAUGUUCAUCUUCCAAAUUUCCGAAUGAGUCCUCAGGGUAACCAAGAUGGUGAAUCUAAUCGCUGAAGCUUAAAUGAGGCCUCCCCAUCCAGAUUUAAAGUAUAUUAAUAAAAUUCAAAGAGGCGAAUUUUACAAGCCAAAUCUUGUUGAAGCCUGUGGAAGGACCUCAAUUUACGUCCUUGAAGUGGGUUCAGAAAUGGUUUGGGGGUGUUGGAUUUGAUUAACAAGGAUUUUGCUAGGUUGGUGGUGGGAAUAGACUACCCCAUGACGACGUGGGAUAGAGUCACUACUGAAGAAUUUUUCAAAUAUAGUUUACAGUCUAUGGACUUGUUGAAUUCUAUUACCUCUUUCAUUUCCUAUUCAUACAAGCUAAGAUUUUCUUUUUUAUGCUUUAACCCUGAUUGAAAAAUCCCCUUCUUCUGCAAAGGAAAAUCUGCUGCAAAUCAAACCUCUUCCAUUUGACAGUGGAGAAGAUGGUGGCAGCUGUGGCGGAGGCGGCUGUGGGUUUGGUGGUGGACCUGGUGGUGGCAACGACGUUUACAGUGGUGGGCGACAAGGGAGAACAGUGAUAUUGGUCUUGCGUAGGCCGUAGGGGGUGGGGUUUGGACGGAAUGGUUGAAGAUAGCAACUGCGAGUGUGGGAGAUGAUGAUUUUAAAAAAAUUUCAUUUAAUUAUUUUAGUUAUUUAAUGUGAAAAACCUUUUAAAAUUGGUCAAAGUUAAUUUUUCUAGGUCAACUAAUGGUCCAAUUUCAUCCUGCGAAUUUCUAAAAUGUUUGGAUCCGUGAUUGGCACAAAUUGAAGUUUAAGAGAUAAAGUCCGUGAAAAAUGAAAAGUCUUGAGAUGGCUGUUGCAAUUUUGCAUUUAAAUCAAG
rnacentral:lncRNA from 1 species